rnacentral:sRNA from 1 species
GUGUUGUUUGCGGCUGGGCUCGUGUAUUGUUCUUUACCCGGCGCGCCGGUCCUGACCGACCCCAUUCUGCAGAGGGGCCGCCCGUGGAGUGGCAGCAGUCAUCACCCGCUUAUCUGAGACUAGUGGCCUCGGUUCUUCCUGUGUCCUGUGUUUGGAGAGAGAUCACAGGAGGGUCAGUAUGGGAAUCCUUUAAAUAAAUAUAUCAGACAUUAUGAAGGAUUAUCUUACAAUAUGGAUUCAUUACACCAAAAACACCAGCGUGCCAAAAGAGCAGUCUCACAUGAGGACCAAUUUUUACGUCUAGAUUUCCAUGCCCAUGGAAGACAUUUCAACCUACGAAUGAAGAGGGACACUUCCCUUUUCAGUGAUGAAUUUAAAGUAGAAACAUCAAAUAAAGUACUUGAUUAUGAUACCUCUCAUAUUUACACUGGACAUAUUUAUGGUGAAGAAGGAAGUUUUAGCCAUGGGUCUGUUAUUGAUGGAAGAUUUGAAGGAUUCAUCCAGACUCGUGGUGGCACAUUUUAUGUUGAGCCAGCAGAGAGAUAUAUUAAAGACCGAACUCUGCCAUUUCACUCUGUCAUUUAUCAUGAAGAUGAUAUUAACUAUCCCCAUAAAUAUGGUCCUCAGGGGGGCUGUGCAGAUCAUUC